rnacentral:rRNA from 1 species
UACCAGCACCCCGAGUGGUCGGGACGAUUAUUGGGCCUAAAGCAUCCGUAGCCGGUUCUGCAAGUCCCCCGUUAAAUCCAGCUGCUCAACAGAUGGGCCGCGGAGGAUACUCCAGAGCUAGGAGGCAGGAGAGGCAAGCGGUACUCAGUGGGUAGGGGUAAAAUCCGUUGAUCCAUUGAAGACCACCAGUGGCGAAGGCGGCUUGCCAGAAUGCGCUCGACGGUGAGGGAUGAAAGCUGGGGGAGCAAAGCC